UAACAAAUCCUUGUGUCCUCAUCACCAGCUGCAACGACGAUUACCUUGUGGUCAGACGCGGUGUCACUCCCUCCCACCCACAGGGCACCAUUCCUUUGGACGGUGUGGAUGGAGGGGCCGCAAUCCCCCGUGUGGGCAAGCACUGGAGGGACACUGCAGGCAGAGGGGGAACGCAGCGUCCGCGGGCGCCAAGCAGGGCUUCGUGCUGAUGCAUCAAAUUCGAGCUGGACCAGUGGGGCGAGACGCUGUGUCCACCGCGCACGUUGGCUCUGGAGCCAUAUUUCGCCCAUGUGACUUGUCACUGUUUAUGGAACUAGAAGUCUCUCGAGGCAAGCCUUCCGCAGCGCCCAGGACGCGAGAGCAGGCCCUUUGAGAGCUGGGAGUGAGGCGGAUACUUAAUGUGUCCUGAAGUUUUUGCAGAAAUCAAAUUCUUUUCCCAUUGUGCUAAGGAGCUUGCAAGAACCAAGAUGACAAAUUCUACAUUAAAGCAGCAAAAGAAAAAUCCUCCUCUACUCCCUUUUUGCAGAGAGCCAGAUGAGGGGCUUGAACUCUCGAACCGAACUCUCGACCGGCGAGAUCAUGACCUGAGCUGAAGUUGGACGCCUAAACCACUGAGCCACCCAGGUGCCCCUGGCCCCUGGACUUCUCCACCAUCCUGAUCCCGCUUCC